UCCGGCAGGGAGCGGGGCCUUGCCGGUUGGCCCCGCUACCAGCAGCCAAUCUACGGCGACCUCGACUCGCGACCCUGAGCGGCUCGGACGAGCGGGCAGCAGCACGACCGACGGCGCACGUCCACGGGCCGCGCCGCGCCGGUAGGUCCACGCCCGUCGCCUUUGGCUCUCCCCUCGCCGCCUCAGCGAUGUGCCGCUACUGCUGGCCCUACUGGAGACGCAGCCUAAGGUCGUCGAGUCCAGCGCUGGCCAGGCGGAAGUGAGGCAAGCGCCGUCGAGUGCUGGGCCCUCCCGAAGCGCAGGCCCGGACAGUCGGCGAAUGACGGUAGGGUUCGCCGGCGCUACUGGUGCUUCUUUGGUAGUGGCUGCCCGUGCGUCAGCUCCCAGCUCUGCGCGCCGGGGAUGUCCGGG
rnacentral:lncRNA from 1 species